GCCUGCAAUCAUGGCCGAAAGUUUGGUGGGCAGUGGACUGAAAAUCCGCGUGUCGGUGGUUCGAAUCCGCCCCCCAGGCACCA
rnacentral:tRNA from 1 species